AUGUUGUCAAGGUUCAUCAAGUUUUAACAAAUAUCAAUACUUCAUUUCUUUUUAUGGGUGGAAAUGGGUAGGAGGUGGAAGGGAAUCUCAA